rnacentral:tRNA from 1 species
GGAAGCGUGCCCGAACGAUCAAGGAUUACUUUGAUAAAGUACCCAAAGGGGUUCAAUUCCCCUCGAUUCCU